ensembl:rRNA 5S_rRNA 5S ribosomal RNA
UGUCCCAGCCAUACCACCCUGAAUGUGCCUGAUCUCAUCUGAUCUCGGAAGCUAAGCAGGGUUGGGCCUGGUUAGUACUUGGAUGAGAGAAAAUCCAAUUUGAAAUCUGCUAUGAUAA